rnacentral:SRP_RNA from 1 species
UGACGGGUCGCGCAAGAGUGGCGCCGCAACCCCGCCAGGCCCGGAAGGGAGCAACGGUAGUGGCAAAGCUUUGUGCGCGGCCCGGUCAGU